rnacentral:rRNA from 1 species
AUUGAACGCUGGCGGCAUGCCUUACACAUGCAAGUCGAACGGUAACGGGCCUUCGGGUGCCGACGAGUGGGGAACGGGUGAGUAAUACAUCGGAACGUGCCCGAUCGUGGGGGAUAACGAGGCGAAAGCUUUGCUAAUACCGCAAACGAUCUAUGGUUGUUAGCAGGGGACCGCAAGGCCGUGAGCGGCCGGAGCGGUCGAUGGCAGAUUAGGUAGUUGGUGGGAUAAAAGCUUACCAAGCCGACGAUCUGUAGCUGGUCUGAGAGGAUGAUCAGCCACACUGGGACUGAGACACGGCCCAGACUCCUACGGGAGGCAGCAGUGGGGAAUUUUGGACAAUGGGCGCAAGCCUGAUCCAGCCAUGCCGCGUGCAGGAUGAAGGCCUUCGGGUUGUAAACUGCUGUUGUACGGAACGAAAAGCCUUCUUUUAAUACAGGAGGGUCAUGACGGUACCGUAAGAAUAAGCACCGGCUAACUACGUG